GUCUUGGCAAACAGGGAGCUUGUUUUACCCUCCAGGUGAUGUCCCCACCCCUCCUUCGUCCUAUGGUCUCUUUCCACUCUUUUCAGCAGGUCUUGGAAGCAUGGCAGCUGUCUGGACUGCUCCCUGUGGAGGGUUUGGCAGCCACCAACAUCCUGCCUUUGGGUUGCUCCUGGAUCAAGCCUCGGGCAUAUGCAGAGUUGAAUAAAUUCCCAGGCUCCUGCUCUACUUGUUGGCGAUCAGUGGGGGAAAGCCAGCAAGAAUUUUCUCCGAGCAUCUGAAAUACCCUCGUGGCAGAAGAAAGAGAAUUUUUGCCUCCCGGAUUUAGGGGACUAUAAGCCGUCUGUCUAGAGGUCUGAAAUUCCUUUGAAGUCUCAUAUUUUGUCUUAAAAAAUAUCCAUGUGAACUUGGCAGUCUACUCCUUAAUAUAUUUGUGCUUAUUUAAUAUUAAGACAAAACCCUCCUUUAUAUCUUCAAGUAAAACGGAAGUUCCAAACAGAAGCAUGAUUUAAUCUUGCAGUUUCAGGAAUUAACUGGCCCACAGCUUGUACCACUGGGCACCCCAUGCUUUCAGCUGGAAAGUGCUGAUGUGUGGCAAAUGAUUCUGAUGGUCAGCUGCAAUUUCUCUGCCUUGCCAGCACCACUAUUUAAUAGGUAGAGAGGAAACUUCUUGUUUGGCGGUGUCAGGAUUUCUAGUCUUUUGCAGGAAGAUGUGAAUUGCCUGAGGCAUGAAUUUGGAUCCCAUCAUGUAAUCCUUGAAUUUCACGUAUUUCAAAGGUAUAAACACAGAAAUAGCGUAAAAGCAGGGAAUAUAAGCAGGCACAAAGAAAUCAAUCCAAUGUCACUGGCUAUUCAAAUGGCAUUGUCUUCCAGGAGACUUUUGUCUCCAAACACUGAGAAAUUGUGGAAGUAAUUAGGAGGGAACCACGUUGUGGCGGAGACAGUAAAUGACCUUAAUCUAGCCUCCCAUUACAUGUUCUUGAAAUUAGUGUGCAGGCAUUCCAGCUCGUAGACACACUCACUAUAUACACCUUGAAGAGAAGAUGCGGAUGAAAGAAGGGUAGCUCUUAUGAAGAGAGGUCACAAGCUUUCAGUUCUGGGUUGACUUUUUUUGCUCUGUGUCUUCUUGAUGCAUCAACUUAUUUUCUGUGUUUUUCUGCAUUAUCUCCGCCUUGCUCCAAAGCCUUCUAGUCAGUUAGGAGAUAUAAAGGGAAGUUUAAGAAUCCUAACAUUAGGUGGGAGGGAGGUUCGAGAGGGAUAGGACCAAUGUAUACAUAUAGUUAGUUCACUUCGUUGUACAGCAGAGAAUAACACAACUUUGUAAAGCAAUCAGACUCCAAUAAAAAAGAUGAAAAGAAAAUAAAGUUUAAAAUUUUAAACAAAGAAAAAAGAAUCCAGACAUUGAAUUUGUGGCUGGUCAUAGAGUUUGUGCUUAAUAAAGUUAGCAGUGGAAAAGUAUCCUGAGCAUUUUUCACUCAGAUAAGACUAAGAAAAUGUGGACCCCUUUGUGACUGUGCUGUGAUUUACUGUCUGCCCUUAAAUGCAGAAUGCAGCGCAUUAUGGAUUUUUGUGAAUGCUACUUGGCAUUAUAAUGAGCUUUGGCUAUCUGGGCAAAUCCUAAGGUCUCCUUGAUCCCACAUUCUGUUUCUGUUUUGUUUUAAUCUUGAAUUUUCCAGAAGACAUUCGGGAUUUUAGCCAUCACACUCCCAAGUUUUUACUCCCCAACAUAUCACCUGCAUAUUUUGAAUUGCCUGCUGGAUGUAUCCUUCAUAUUGAGAAAACAUGGCAUAGCAAACUUAAAAUUUACUAAAGAAAAUUUAUCAUCUUUUUCCCCCAAUUCUGCUCUGUAUUCUAUACCUUCCCUCAGAUAGUAGUGAAAUGGCUCAUACUUUUUCAAGUUAGAUAAUCCUCCAUCAUCUUUUGAGUUUUCUUUUUCCUGCCCUUCUACAUUCAAGUAGUUGUCUAUCAUGUCAAAUUUCUCCUAAUAUAUCUGGCAGGGUUCCCAGUGCUGUGACUUUGCUUCAUAUCAUCAAGUCUUGUUUAGAGGAUUUCUUUCCUGACUUCUGAUCCCUCUCACCUUUGGAGUAACUUAACACUGCCAUCCUGAGAUUUUUUUUUUUUGUAAAUGGGUAUAGUGGUCUCCUGCUUUAAAUUCCCAGUAAACUCUAGUUGUUCCAGGAUAAGGUUUAAAUUCAUUGUAAAUGUUGCAAGAUUGGUCCCAACUGAUGCCAGUUUAGCUCUUCAACCCAACUUUUCUCCAGCUUUCACCUGUGUGUUCGACAGUCAAGCCACAGAGAGCCUCAUUCCUCUGAAGGAUCUUUCAUGACCCUGGGUUGUUGCCACAUGAGCCCCUCUGUCUGGGAUGCUCUUUCCUUUGUUCGUAUUUCUUAUUCAUCUUUCAAGAUCAAUUUCAAAUGCCAGCUCCUUUAAAACCUGUCUACCGCUCCUCCAGUCGCAGUUACCUAUUCUGCCUCUUAUAUUUCCCAGAGCCCCGUCCCUGGCUCUUUUACGGCCGUGAUGCUUUGUCAUUCACCGGUUCACUGUUUCUCUGUAUUGUUCACUAGGUAGGAAGGUUGGGAAGACACAGAUUUGUUCAUCUCUGUGUCCCUAGGGCCUGGCACAAGUGGAUGC
rnacentral:lncRNA from 1 species